UUUCCCAUUUGACUACCACGUUUUCUUCUGUGAUAGAUUUUGUGGCUAUGCUUAUGGGACAGAUGAAAGUUGCCAUGAUCUGAAAGAGGGCUUUUCAGUGCCCUCCUCCUAUAUGAAAUGGCUGAACAGAAGGAA
ensembl:snoRNA small nucleolar RNA SNORA29